rnacentral:rRNA from 1 species
CCUGCAAAACGAAUCUAAGUUCCCCCUUAACCCUCUUUUUCCUCCCCAGACAAACCCAACCCAAAUGUGAUAGUUAAGGGCUAUUUAAAGGGGGUACAGCCCCUUUAAAAAAGGACACAACCUCCACCAGCGGAUAACCCCUGUACGCCCAACCCCGUGGGCCUUAAAGCAGCCACCCCCAAAGAUUGCGUCAAAGCUCCAUCAACCAAAAACCCCCAAAACCAAUGCGACUCCCUACACCCACAGCAGGCCAACCUAUAACAAUAGAUGAAUCAAUGCUAGAACGAGUAACCAGGACACUAUGUCCCCCUAAGCGCCAGCCUGUAUGCCAUUAACAGUAAAACCUCAAUAAUAACCACCCCCACCAUUGAACCCACCCUGUCAACCCAACUCAGGGGCGCACAUUGGAGUGAUCAAAAUCUACAAAAGGAACUCGGCAAACCUAAGACCCGACUGUUUACCAAAAACAUAGCCUUCAGCCAAACAAGUAUUGAAGGUGAUGCCUGCCCAGUGACACUAUGUUUAACGGCCGCGGUA